rnacentral:lncRNA from 1 species
GAGCUUGAAUUAGCCAUCCAGAGCCUUCGAUAUGAGCUAGCACUCUCGAAAAGGAUGAUCCUAUCAGAGCUUCGAGUGGAUGACCUGUAGAGUUCGGACGAUCUAUACGGCUACUCGACAUCAGGAAGAAUCUCAUACCAUAUCUAUCAGUAGUGGCGAUCAUCGAUCCGUGCAAUGGUAAUGAGUUUUGAACUCAUCCGAUUAGAUCUAACGGUUAGAUCUGAUGUAGGGCAUCGAUGUGAUCGAUGUAAAUUUUUUUUAUGUUAGAUUUUUGUAUGCAAAAAUUUCAUGUCAUAGAUCUUUAAAAAGUAGUUUAGAUCUGAUCUAAAGUAUGUGUAGG